rnacentral:rRNA from 1 species
GUAAUGGCAGGUCAGCAUACUGCCGUGAAUACGUUCCCGGGCCCUUGUACACACCGCCCGUCACACCAUGAGAGUUGGGAAUACCCGAAGCCUGUGAGCUAACUUAUAGAGGCAGCAGUCGAAGGUAGAAUCAAUGAUUGGGGUGAAGUCGUAACAAGGUAUC